rnacentral:rRNA from 1 species
AUGGUGUCCGUCAUGGUCGUCGGCCACCUCGGCGAGCUGCCCCUCGCCGGCGCCUCCCUCGCCACCUCCCUCGCCAACGUCACCGGCUACAGCCUCCUGACCGGCAUGGCGACGGCGAUGGAUACGCUCUGCGGCCAGGCCUACGGCGCGCGGCUGUACCACCGGCUCGGCGUCUACAAGCAGCGCGCCAUGGUGGUGCUCUCGCUCGCCUGCGUCCCCAUCAUCCUCAUCUGGGCCAACACCGCCAGGAUCCUCGUCUUCCUCGGCCAGGACCCGGCCAUAUCGGCCGUGGCCGGCGAGUACGCGCGGUGGAUGAUCCCGUCGCUCGUCGUCUACGUGCCUCUGCAGUGCCACAUACGGUUCCUGCAGUCGCAGAGCAUCGUCCUGCCCGUGACGGCCAGCUCCGGCACCACGGCGCUCUGCCACCCGCUCGUGUGCUGGCUGCUGGUGUACAAGGCCGGCCUGGGGAGCAAGGGCGCCGCGCUCAGCAACGCCGUCUCCUACGGCAUCAAUCUGGUCAUACUGGCUCUGUACGUCAGGCUGUCCAGCACCUGCAAGAACACCUGGAGCGGCUUCUCCCGGGAGGCGUUCAGGGAGCUGCGCCAGUUCACCGCGCUCGCCAUGCCGUCCGCCAUGAUGAUCUGCUUGGAGUGGUGGUCAUUUGAAAUCCUUGUGCUUCUCUCUGGGCUUCUGCCCAAUCCUCAGCUUGAGACAUCAGUGCUGUCAAUAUGCCUUAACACAGGGGCACUGCUGUACAUGGUACCACUUGGCCUUUCCUCUUCUAUCAGCACGCGCGUCUCAAACGAACUUGGCGCCGGCCACCCAGAAGCAGCAAAGCUAGCGACGCGAGUGGUCAUGUACAUGGCCUUAUCUGUAGGAUUGGUGUUAGCCCUGACCAUGGUCUUGCUACGGAAUGUUUGGGGGUACCUGUACAGCAAUGAGCAGGAAAUCGUCACAUACAUUUCAAGGAUGCUGCCCAUUCUCGGAAUAUCUUACUUGAUAGAUGGACUCCACAGUUCUCUUUCAGGAGUGCUUACGGGCAGUGGCAAGCAGAACAUCGGCGCAGCCGUGAAUCUCGGUGCGUUCUACCUGCUAGGCAUUCCCUUGGCUGCGAUGCUUGCAUUUGUCUUCCACCUAAACGGAAUGGGUCUCUGGCUUGGCAUCGUUUCCGGCAGCUUCACCAAACUGGCACUAAAGGCACAGGACAGGGUCUUGGGUUCAGCUCGCCUACUUCCAGUAUCGUAG